UGACAGCACAGGCCCUAGACUGCCCCUUGUGCUACAACAGAUACGACUACACAUCGUGUACGGGUGUGCAAACAUGCCAUCAGUCACAUGACGUGUGUGAGCUGACCGUUCAUCUGACUGACCACAACAGUGUUGAGUACAACUGUCACAGCCGAGUUGCAUGCUACCAUCAUGAACUGACCCACUUCCACCACUGCGAACCGACCCACAUGGAAAAAUGCACGUUCUGCUGCCACGGUCCAACAGAGUGUGAAG